rfam:PVC group bacterium (ex Bugula neritina AB1) isolate AB1-3 AB834_contig000085, whole genome shotgun sequence.
UAACAUCUAGCUCAAUGGUAGAGCACUCCUCUUACACGGGAGACGUUAUCAGUUCAAAUCUGAUGGUGUUAA